rnacentral:rRNA from 1 species
GACGAACGCUGGCGGCGUGCCUAACACAUGCAAGUCAACUUGACUGAAGGAGCAAUCUGACAGUAGAGUGGCGCAAGGGUGCGUAACGCGUAAGUAACUUGCCCCAAGGUAAGGAAUAACGUCGUGAAAUCGGCGCUAAUACCUCAUAAUGCAGCGGAUCCGCAUGGAUAUGUUGUUAAAGGUUUACCGCCUUGGGAUAGGCUUGCGUCUGAUUAGUUAGUUGGUGUGGUAACGGCACACCAAGGCUACGAUCAGUAACUGGUCUGAGAGGAUGAUCAGUCACACUGGAACUGAGACACGGUCCAGACUCCUACGGGAGGCAGCAGUGAGGAAUAUUGGGCAAUGCUCGAAAGAGUGACCCAGCAACGCCGCGUGGAGGAUGAAGGUAUUCUAUAUCGUAAACUCCUGUGAGAGCAAGACGAAAGACAGAUUAUAAUCUGGAUGACUGUAUGCUCAGAGGAAGCCCCGGCUAACU